UCAAAGAAGAUCCUAGGGCCCAAGCUACAAAAUUGAAAACAAAGAACCUGUCAUACACCCAUUUCAGUAUAUACACAAAGAACUGUAGUCUUAUACAUGCAUUAAGUAGGCGAAAGUAUGAGUAGUGGAGGUCACUUGUGAGAGAUUAAGCAGUAAAGGCGAAGCAUAUGAGGCAUACAAGGAGUUUGUGUAUAGCAUUUGUUCAAGAAUACUAUCAUGUUUAUUCCAUUAGACAGGACUAUCAUGAUGUUUUAACAGACCAUGGGAGUGCAACACAUGAACGCUCCCUAGAAGUCAAAGCGCCUGAUAGCUUUCAAUCUGCAUCUUAAAGUCGAAUUUUGUUUCCCGGCAAUUUUUUGUACAGCUUGCUGAAUAGGAUAGUGUGAAACUCAAUAAGUUUUUUUUUUCUGCACAAUUAAUAAGGGCCCAACUCUUUUUUUCUGAGACUGAUAUAAUCCUAUCAGGGAACAUCUAUAAAUCUGCUCAAUACCACUCCUCUCCAAACUGGGGCGAAUCAAGAUGGAGUGCCGCGUGGGCGCACCGGCACACCCCAAAUUUGUGAAGCUCGGUUUGAUUUAACAAAUCGCUAGGUGAAACAACCCCAUACCUCGAAACCCAAUCGCCUAGGAGGGGGUGGAGACAGUGGGAAGGAGACAUCCCGCCGAGGGAGGACGGGAUGGCGAUGGCGGCGGCGUGCGCGAGAGGGGGGAGGCGAGGGUGGGGGCGGGAUUGAGGCAGCUGGGGAGGAAGAAGAGCGCAUUGAUGGCUCGCCAUUAGAGUUAUGGCCGAGUUCAGAUAAAAAAGAAAGAAUCACUGAUUGUUUCCAUACAUCAGAAUUAUGGCUAAAAAUGUACUUAGAAGUAUGUCUCUUGAACAAAGCUAAGGCCCAUGAAACACACACAUUGAAACCAGGAGUGCUACUAAUUUAUCUAUGCAAACCUACAACAAAAUUAUGGCUGAAAUGACAUGCCAUGAAACUGGAGGUGUAGUGCCUGUUUCAGAAAAAUGAUCAAGGUUCCCUAGUCCUAGUAAUGUGAGCAUGAACCCCUGUGUGACAACCUACCUUCAGUGGCAAAGCUAUGAACUACCAGAUGGGCCAAAAUGAAGUUAUCGAUAAAAUCAGUCAUUUACCUAGGUAGAGAAACCAAACAUGAAGUAAAUUCAUAGAACGAGACUUUCAUAUCCACGGAUGAUCAAUAUCUAUCAACAUAGCCAACAGAGCAUAGGUAGAGAGAAAACUCACCUGCUGACAUCACCAAGAGUAGCUCAAGUGGGCCUUGGAACUACACACACCACCAUGGAAGUUCUGUGCACUGGGGAUCAGUCCCAGAGGUGUUGUCACUUCAGCCUUUUACCUCGCAAACACACUCGUACCCCUCAUUCAGGAGCUGCUGGAGGAAGAAGGCAAACGUCAAUGAACACACAUUGUUUUCUAUAAAAUGUAGAAAUUUCCAAUGAACACUAUAUAACAAAUUUUAGACUAACAUGUGUUAUAUUAUAAAUGUGAAACAGAGCAGAAACACCUUAAAACUAUUUGAUCCCGGUCAUCACAUUCUUCCAAACAAAUGCUUAGAAUAGAAUGUCAAAAUAUAACAGGCGAAGUAUACUACUUAGGUGUGCAACAUAAACUGAUUCACACUAACUGUUACAAGUGAGCAUUUGAUCCAAUUUUUGCUAUUUCAUAUCUCAAACUGUAUAUAGCUUCAGCCCACAUGAUAACACGAAACGUGCAAAUGGAAUUUUCUUUAGGCAGAACUAAGGAAGCAACAAUGGCAACUCAGUGAAUAAUAAUUAUAGCAAAAUGGGAACAAAGCAAAACAAGAAAAAGAGGCAUGCAAGAGCAGCACCUAGCAUUCGGGGCGACACUCCGUUCCUUUAUCUGAACUACAACCCAAAAUGCAAAAAUAAGGAUCUCUCAUAUUCACUUGCAGCUUACCUAUAAACUACACGAUAAGCCCUAGAGCUUCUUAGAGCAAUCCCAUAUAUCUUGAAAGAUAACCAGUCACCUGCAUGGGCAAGUGAAAAGGCUUCAUUAAGAAAAUGUAACAUCCAUAGUAAGCCCUAGACAGAACGAACAUAUCUGUACUACUACUUAACAAUAUUGUAAAAAUAGCAUAAACCAUAGCUAAGCAACAUCCAAACGCCUAAAAGAAAGCCUUCCACAUGUUUUUGGGAACAUCCAAGAAAAUAGAACAAUUGAAGCUAGCAGUAAUCUAAAAAACGGACCAACAUCCAUACUGGAUUGUAGAUAAAUACUAUAGCAGCACAUAAUUCUUACAGUAUACUGAAUUUAACAACUUGGUUAUCUUACCUCCCUCGAAUUAUGAUUUCUUAUUGUAUCAUACCAAGGCUUCUUCACAUGGCAUCCCAUAGGAAGUGCUCAUUGCUAACUUGUAAACUUCGUCUUGUUCUAUACAUCUCCAGCACCUAAAAAUUGAGGAAGCUACAUAUUACAAUCUUUUAUUGUACCAGGCCUUCCUCACACAGCAUCAAGAAUAUCAAACCCCAAAAAGCCAAGACAAACGUGCACAUACUCAGGUUUUCGCUGAUCAUAUUUAAGAUCAUGUGACACGUCUCACCAUUAAGUACAUAAAGCUUGAGACAUGAUGAAGUACAUUACAAAAUAAGACAUGAUCCAUCUAAGCAAUGUGAUCAGCAUAACUACUUCAAAAUAUAGGAAUCUGCUUAAAAA
rnacentral:lncRNA from 1 species